CCGGCGGCCACCACGUCACCCCUCCCUUCGCAGGGUCCUCUUCCUUUUCUCUGACUCUGCUUCGGAGAGUGCUUCCUUAGCUUCGGGAAGAGGCUGUAAUCUAACUCAUCGUCUGUUUGCUCUGAAAACCAGCGUGGACGUGCAGAGGCCGACUGGAUCACCGUCAGUAACCGUGCUGCCAGUCCGAGAAGCCAGCCCGGCCUCUGAAGCGUACGACCUUGAGCUGCACAAGGACAAGCGCAGACCAAGGGAUGCUCUCUGGAUGAAGAUGCUCCAAGAGAAAAUGAAUACGCAGCAGAGGCAGAGGAAGACCCCCAGCCUCGGCUCUCAGCGGGACCUGGAGAGCCAGCGGAGAGAGGAGUAACCUUCCAGAACAAAUGAGGAGUAAGCCUGCCUCUCCAGGGAUGACCACAGCACCCCUCACCCUGGAACAAGCAAGUCAGAAGUCCCGUGUUCUGGUGGGCUCCUCUCUUUUCUCUGCCCAGACAGUUAGAGGGUGUGGUUCCCAGGAGAUUGAAGAACAAGUUAAAGUGGGAGUACAAGCAGCAGAUGCCUGAGGUGGGAGGUUGGGGUCAGAGCAGGACGCUGAGCUGAAGAUUAGAGUCGCAGCAGCUCUGGGCAGUGCCUGAAGGCAGGAGUGUGAGUGCCUGCCCUCCGUGGAGUGGGGGUGAAGGUCACGGCGGAGAAUAUGGACGUUCCCACGAAGACGCAGGAGGAGGGUGAAGGGGCGUGAAUCUCCCCCCAGUUCCUUGGUGAGUAAGAGCAAAGAGCCAAGAAUUACAGUUAUAGUGGAGGUGAGGGCACUUCCCCACGGCACUUUGCCUUCAGAGUUUAUAUGUUGUUUUUUCUUUUUUGAUUCUAGGAGGCUAAGACAGCAAGUCGAUACUGGACUAACUAUGUGGAUUGAGAAAGCGAAUGUAGUGUCUCACCUGCAUGAAAAGAAUGAAGAAAUGUUGAAACUCCCCCCAAAAUAAUUAAAUGGCAGAUUUCUUUUUCUUCAAAUUUAUGACAAGAAAAUAUGGUAUUAUCUAGUAAAUAAUAAUAUAAACCCAGAAAUAUGAAUAAAAAUCAGUAGAAAUAAGAAUCA
rnacentral:lncRNA from 1 species